GGUUGUGGCUCAGUGGUAAAGCGCUUGCCUAGCAUGCGUGAGGCCCUGGGUUCUGUCCCCAACACCA
rnacentral:tRNA from 1 species